UGUUAAAUCCUAACCAUAUUGCAAGACAUUUUCCCUCCCAAAACGGUUGGGAUUAAUGUCAAGGCCUGCAAGUGGGAGUGCAAAUUGCGUCACAAGAUUUUAAGAAUCCAGAAACCCAAAUUCUAAAGUGGGGCCCCCAGCUAAAGGUAUAACGCCAUCAGGCAGGAACAACGUGACCUGAAACAGGAAAGUGAGGCACAGUUCAUCACUCGACCAGUUCAAACAAUUGUCCACUAACCCAGCCAAGUGACUGUUUUUGGGUCACUUCUAAAGCAUGACCACUUUGGCCUGAAGUCUCAUCUGUUUACAUAUAGACAAAAGGCCUCUCAAAAUCCUUUUCAUCUUUGGACCAAACCAGACUGAUCGGCAAGGGCACAUGAGAUGUAGACCGAGAGAGAGAAGAAAGACGGAUGCUUUCAGCUUGAAGCUUCUGGAAGAUUUUCUCUUCUUGCUCUGAAUGCUUGUCAGCACACUGCAGCACAACCAAUCAGAGGGCAGUUGUCAGGCAGAAUUGGUGCCAUUCAAUCUGAAAUUGUUCCUCCCCACUUCUUCAAAUAUUAAUACGAUAUUGCACACUGCAACAAGAUGAGUAUUUGAUUUUCAAAUUGCAAAACUCUAUAAAUAUUAGUAAUCCAGUUUCCAUUUCAUUUAUAGUUUCAAGAAAAGAAAAUAUAUGGUUUUGAAUACUACCCUGUGGGAAACUUUUAAUGGCUUGA